rnacentral:snoRNA from 1 species
GGCGCCGGUUGAUGACUUCUUAGAUGACGAAUCCGAGCGGCGACCUACGCAGCUGUCCGGCGUUCUGCCGGCGCUGUAGCCGUCUGAGACGACAAUCGAGGCAUUUGUCUGACGGCCGCC